rnacentral:rRNA from 1 species
CCUACGGGAGGCAGCAGUGGGGAAUAUUGCACAAUGGGCGCAAGCCUGAUGCAGCGACGCCGCGUGAGGGAUGACGGCCUUCGGGUUGUAAACCUCUUUCAGUAGGGAAGAAGCGAAAGUGACGGUACCUGCAGAAGAAGCGCCGGCUAACUACGUGCCAGCAGCCGCGGUAAUACGUAGGGCGCAAGCGUUAUCCGGAAUUAUUGGGCGUAAAGAGCUCGUAGGCGGUUUGUCGCGUCUGCUGUGAAAGACCGGGGCUCAACUCCGGUUCUGCAGUGGGUACGGGCAGACUAGAGUGCAGUAGGGGAGACUGGAAUUCCUGGUGUAGCGGUGAAAUGCGCAGAUAUCAGGAGGAACACCGAUGGCGAAGGCAGGUCUCUGGGCUGUAACUGACGCUGAGGAGCGAAAGCAUGGGGAGCGGAACAGGAUUAGAUACCCUGGUAGUCCAUGCCGUAAACGUUGGGCACUAGGUGUGGGGGACAUUCCACGUUUUCCGCGCCGUAGCUAACGCAUUAAGUGCCCCGCCUGGGGAGUACGGCCGCAAGGCAAAACUCAAAUGAAUUGACGG